AUGGAGGAGCUGUUGGGGAAGCUGCGGCACUUGGCGCACUGCGCCGAGGACUUACUGGACGAACUAGACUACUUCCGCAUCCACGACGAGCUCCAUGGCACAUACGAGGCGGCCGACCACCAUGCCAAGGGCGGUGUCCACGACCUUGUCCUCAAUAGUCGUCACACCGUCAAGGCCGUUGGCAAACUGGCAUUUGUAUCCUCACGCUGCUGCUGGUCUGCUACCAGCCCUGCAGGUGAUCAAGUAGAGGAUGCAAGACAACAGGUUAGCUGUUCCGCUUGGCCGCGUGCUAGGAAGAGAUCACACGGCAAUUCCUCCUCAGCGUCAAAUGCCAAUCAGGAGAUCAGCGGAUGCAUGCCCAAGCUCGGUAAACUCCUGCCUUGCUCAUCUUCCCCAGAUGUUCCUGAUGAUAAUCCUGUCCAGUCAACUAUUUUUGGUGCGCCACUGAGAGAGCAUGCGGAAGAGACACCAAUGCAGGAGUUUAACAGGGCUGUUAUCUCAGAGAGAAUGAAGUGCAUUGUAGAGCAACUACAGCCCUUGCGUACAGAGUUCACCACUAUUCUGCAGAGUUGUGGCCAUAACACUGUUCCAGGCAUUACCCAUGGUCGUCCCCUCACCACUGCUCGAAGUAUAGAGCCAAAAUUGUAUGGGAGGGAUCAGAUCGUGAAAAACAUCAUACAUGAUAUAACCAAGGGUAAAUGUCAGAACAAGGAUCUAACUGUGCUUCCGAUUGUCGGUCCGGGUGGGAUAGGGAAAACAGCUCUGAUACAACACAUAUAUCAUCAUAAAGAUGUCCGAAAUCAUUUUCAAGUACUGAUCUGGGUAUGUGUAUCCCUCAGUUUCAAUGUAAGUAAGCUGCUUGAAGAUAUUAAAAAUGAUAUCCCUGAGGUUAAAGAGGAAAAAGGGGGUAAACCGGAUGAGUUGAUUGAACAAAGAUUGAAAUCUAAAAGGUUUUUGCUUGUAUUGGAUGAUAUAUGGGGGAUUAGUACUGAGGAUGAUUGGGAAAAGUUAUUGCUGCCACUCAAAACAUCAGAAGAAAAGGGCAACAUGAUUCUACUCACAACCCGGUUUCCAGCAGUAGCAAAGAUGGUUGGAACAAUUGACCAUUCAAUAAAUUUGGAAGGUUUGGAACCUAACUAUUUUAGGGAGUUAUUCCAUGCAAUUGUCUUUGGUGAUGACCAAUGUAGACAAGAUCACAUUUUUUUGCUUGAGACCGGUGAAAAGAUAAUGGUAAAACUAAAGGGAUCCCCGCUUGCAGCAAAAACUGUUGGUAGAUUACUGAGAAAAGGCCUUAAUUUACGUCAUUGGAGAAAGGUAUUAGAAAGUAAAGAGUGGGAGAGACAGACUGGUGAAAAUGACAUUAUGACUGCCUUGAAGCUUAGCUAUGACUAUCUUCCUUUUGAACAACAACAAUGUUUCUCAUAUUCUGCAUUGUUUCCCGAAGAUUACGGAUAUAGUGCCACCGAGCUAAUCGACUUGUGGAUAGGACUUGGUAUUUUGCAACCUGAUGGUCAGAACCCAACAUUGGAAACUAAAGGUUUGAAUAAUUUAAAUGAUUUGGUCACACAUGGAUUUUUCAGAGAAGACAUUUUUUGUGGUCGUCUGCGUUAUGUAAUGCAUGACCUACUACAUGAUUUAGCAUUGAAGGUUGCAUCAAAUGAAUGUCUUACUAUGCAUCAUUCAACUGUGGGGCCUGUAGAAAUUCAUCCAAGCAUACACCACUUGUCUAUAAUCGUAGAUGGUAAUGAUACAGUGUCUCAUGAAAACUUCAAGAGUCAACUGAGAAAACUGAAGACAAGAUUGAAGGUUAAACAAUUGCAUACUUUGAUGUUAUUUGGAGUUAUGGAUGAAAUCAUGGCCAACAUUUUGGGUGAUUUGUUUAGGGAAGCAAGUGCUCUUCGUGUUCUCUGCUUGGUUAAUAUGUCGCCUUCUGUGGAGUCCAUGUUACAUAAAUUUCCAACACUUAUCCACCUACGAUACCUACGUCUGGGAAAAAGGUACGGGACAGAGAGGCAUUUACCACUUGCCAUUUCUAGAUUUUAUCAUUUGAGGAUUCUGGAUCUAAGAUGGCAGUAUGACUGUCGUGAUUUGCUCAAAGACUUGAGCAACCUUGCAAAAUUGUGUCGUUUUUAUACCCCAACAGAUGAGUUACAUUCUGAUAUUUUUAAUGUGGGAAAACUUAAACUCUUAGAAGAGUUGAAGAAAUUUAGAGUCAAUAAAGAAAGUGAAGGAUUUGAACCAGAGCAACUAGAACAUUUGACCGAACUAAGGGAGCUUGGCAUCUAUAACCUUGAGAAUAUACACACGAAAGAAGAAGCAGCCAAAGCAAAAGUGAUAGAGAAAAACUACUUGGAGAGGUUAACAUUGGAUUGGGAUAGUAACCGGUCUAAUAGUGAGCCUGAUGUGGAAGCAAUGGUUCUUGAGAGCCUUCAACCACAUAAAUAUCUUAAAGAAUUGUGCAUUAGAGGGCACAGAGGCCCUUUUUGUCCAACAUGGUUGGGUGAUGAGCCUGAUGUUGAACUUCUACAAUCUCUUCAUCUCGAUGAUGUUUCAUGGGAAAAUCUUCCUUCUUUCGGGAAGAUGUUGGAUCUUCAUACAUUAAUAUUGAAACAUAUUGCCGCAAUGAAGGAGUUUGUCAUAGAGCGAAGCUUUUCUAGGCUGAUAAGGCUUGAACUUGUUGGCUUGGAAAGUUUUGGAGAAUGGGUACUAUCACAGGAUUCUCAUCAUAUGUUUCCUCUUUUGCAAGAACUGAUUAUAAGGGACUGUCCUAAUCUUUUGGAGCUGCCAUUUUCAAACCACAUUGCUUACCCACCAGAUCAAGACUGGAACAGUGAUUCGUUUGCCAAAUUGCAAGUGCUUGAGAUUCAAAACUGUCCAGAAUUCUUGUUAGUGCAUCGUAUCCCGUGGACUGAAACUUUACAUAGUGUCUUUAUAAUGGAUGUAAAGCUACUACAAGACCUAGAAUAUACAAAGUACGACUCAAAAUCAUCCAAAUUGGUGGUUACUGGGAAGGAUGAACUGCGCAGCUUAGAUCAGGUGUUAGCAUUCAAUAACCUGACAGGGCUCGAGUGUCUGGAACUUGACAAGUGCCCACCUCUAGAGUUGAAGCACAUUGUGAUGUUAAACUCAGUGAAGUAUUUGGAUGUAGUAUCAGGUGAUCUGGUUGGGCUAUUAGGUCGUCAGAAUGAUUUUGAAUGGCAGCUCCCUGUUGAGCAUCUUGUGGUCAAGGACUUACGUGGUGCUAGUGGGAAGCAAUUGACAGAGCUCCUCUGCCACCUCCCAAGGCUCUCCGAAUUGUAUAUCAAAGAGUGUAAAAAUAUAACAAAACUUACAGUGGGGGUGGAUCUGCAACAAACAAUAUCAGCAGCAAAAUCAGAGGUUGAGCAGGAGAAAGAAGAUGAUGGGCUGGUGCUCUUCCCGGCCAAUCUCUCUAACUCACUACAGCUGUUGGCCAUCGGGGGAUGCCCAGAACUGGUCCUGGUGGACCCUUCAAGUUUUAUUCCUGAAAGAGGAGGAGAGUUCCCAGGCCUGCGAUCCCUCGAGAUGUUAGAAAUUAUUCACAACCCCAAGAUACUAUCUGGCGUCUCGUUUUCCUGCUGCUUUUCCCCGUCCUCUCUGCAAGAGCUCCGUCUCGAACAUGUGGAAGACAUGGGGACGCUGGAGCCCCUCUCAGACCUCACAUCUCUCACCCGAUUACAAUUGUCGGAUUGCGGAAAGGAUCUAAGAUGCAAGGGCUUGAGGCCUCUCCUUACCGCCGGGGGACAGCUCACAUCAUUAGAGGUCCGCGGCAGCCCUAGAUUCUUUGCUGGAUGGGAUCCUAAUCAUCCUAGUCAGGUGAUGCAGGACGGAGGAAAAGAGCAGGAGCUGCAGCAACUACAGCUAGUUUCCCCUCCGAGUUCAUCCAAACUGCAGUUUCUCCAUACAGAUGAGGCCAUGGGGCUCCUUGUUGUGCCCAUCUGCAGCUUCCUGUCCUCCUCCCUCACCCACUUGCACCUUGAUGGGAUCUCCCAAGAGAUGGAACGCUUCACCAAGGAGCAAGAGGACGCUCUCCACCUCCUAACCUUCCUCCAGCACCUCCAGUUUUAUGGAUUCAUCAAGCUUCAGAGCCUCCCUUCAGUACUGCACAAGCUUACCAACCUCAAGCUAUUAAGGGUUGUGGUAUGUCCGGCCAUCCGGUCAUUGCCCGAGGAUGGCCUCCCCAAAUCACUCCAAGAAUUAGAUGUAUACGCGUGCCGCAACGAGAAUCUAAAACAGCAGUGCAGGGGGUUAGGGGGAACCAUCCCAAAAAUCAAGCUGUAA
rnacentral:rRNA from 1 species